rnacentral:rRNA from 1 species
GACGAACGCUGGCGGCGUGCUUAACACAUGCAAGUCGAACGGAAAGGCCCUGCUUUUGUGGGGUGCUCGAGUGGCGAACGGGUGUGUAACACGUGAGUAACCUGCCCUUGACUUUGGGAUAACUUCAGGACACUGGGGCUAAUACCGGAUAGGAGCUCCUGCUGCAUGGUGGGGGUUGGACAGUUUCGGCGGUGGGGGAUGGACGCGCGGCUUCUCCGCUUGUUGGUGGGGUAGUGGCUUACCAAGGCUUUGACGGGUCGCCGGCCUGCGCGGGUGACCGGCAACAUGGGGACUGAGAUACGGCCCAGACUCCGACGGGAGGCAGCAGUGGGGAAUAUUGCACAAUGGGCGGAAGCCUGAUGCAGCAACGCCGCGGGCGGGAUGACGGCCUUCGGGUUGUAAACCGCUUUCGCCUGUGACGAAGCGGGAGUGACGGUAAUGGGUAAAGAAGCACCGGCUAACUACGUG